GAGAGAGAUUGUUGAACUGCUAAUUCAACACCACCAUGACUAAACCCAUGGCUCCCUCA
rnacentral:tRNA from 1 species